rnacentral:rRNA from 1 species
GCAGUCGAACGAGAAAUUCCGACUUCGGUUGGAAGAGUAAAGUGGCGCACGGGUGAGUAACACGUGGGUAACCUGCCCUUGAAUUUGGGAUAACUUCGCGAAAGCGUUGCUAAUACCAGAUAUUAUUAAUUUAGCUCCGGCUUUUUUAAUGAAAGGUGACCUCUUCUUGAAAGUUGCCGUUCAGGGAUGGGCUCGCGUACCAUUAGCUAGUUGGUGGGGUAAUGGCCUACCAAGGCUGCGAUGGUUAGCUGGUCUGAGAGGAUGAUCAGCCACACUGGAACUGAGACACGGUCCAGACUCCUACGGGAGGCAGCAGUGAGGAAUUUUGCGCAAUGGGGGAAACCCUGACGCAGCAACGCCGCGUGAGUGAAGAAGGCUCUCGGGUCGUAAAGCUCUGUCAGAUAGGAAAAAAGUUCAUAUGUAAAUAGCUUAUGAAUCUGAUGGUACUAUCAGAGGAAGCACCGGCUAACUCCGUGCCAGCAGCCGCGGUAAUACGGAGGGUGCAAGCGUUGUUCGGAAUUACUGGGCGUAAAGAGCGUGUAGGCGGUAUGGUAAGUCAGAUGUGAAAGCCCUGGGCUUAACCUAGGAAGUGCAUUUGAUACUGCCAUUCUUGAGUAUGGGAGAGGAGAGUGGAAUUCCCAGUGUAGAGGUGAAAUUCGUAGAUAUUGGG